GUGUCACCGUGGGCUAUGUUUGGCGGAGGGACCCAGCUGAUGGUUCUUGGUCAGCCCACGGCGGCCCCCACCAUUAAUGCCUUUGCUCCAUCCCAAGAAGAGCUAGCCACCAAGAAGGCCACCCUCGUGUGUCUGCUGAGUGGCUUCUACCCAAGAACAGUGGAGGUGGCAUGGACCAAGGAUGGCUCCCCCGUGUCCCAGGGUGUGGAGACCUCCCAGCCAUCCCGCCAGAGUGACAGCAAGUACUCAGCCAGCAGUUACCUCUCACUCUCUGCUGACCAGUGGCUGUCAGCCAACACCUUCACCUGCAAGGUCGCCCACAAUGCCAAGGUCAUCCAGAGGGAGCUCUCGCGCAACCAGUGCACUUAGAGGCCCACAUCUCUCCUGCACCCCUCCCUCUAUCCCCACACAUGGGAUUCCCCAGCUCAUAGUCCCCCUACCCUCUUCCAAUAAAGAUCUUCUUUAUCAUUCAA